AACAUCGCGCACCUGCGGGAACCUGCGGAGGGAUCAUUAAUGAUUGGUGGCUGUUGCUGACUAGUGUUUCUAGUAUGUGCACGCCACACCUUCAAUCCCACUUACACCUGUGCACCUUCUGUAAUAGAUCCAUGUGGAUACGGAGAUAUGAAAGUUUGCGCUCUCGUACUCUGUUGAAGCAGUCUACUACGUUUUUUUACACACACACAAUAGUCAUUGAAUGUAUUUUUUAUUCUUAUG
rnacentral:misc_RNA from 1 species